rnacentral:rRNA from 1 species
GCAGCAGUGGGGAAUAUUGGACAAUGGGCGGAAGCCUGAUCCAGCAACGCCGCGUGAGGGAUGACGGCCUUCGGGUUGUAAACCUCUUUCAGCACAGACGAAGCGCAAGUGACGGUAUGUGCAGAAGAAGGACCGGCCAACUACGUGCCAGCAGCCGCGGUAAUACGUAGGGUCCGAGCGUUGUCCGGAAUUAUUGGGCGUAAAGGGCUCGUAGGCGGUCUGUCGCGUCGGGAGUGAAAACCAGGUGCUUAACACCUGGCCUGCUUCCGAUACGGGCAGACUAGAGGUACUCAGGGGAGAAUGGAAUUCCUGGUGUAGCGGUGAAAUGCGCAGAUAUCAGGAGGAACACCGGUGGCGAAGGCGGUUCUCUGGGAGUAUCCUGACGCUGAGGAGCGAAAGUGUGGGGAGCGAACAGGAUUAGAUACCCUGGUAGUCCACACCGUAAACGUUGGGCGCUAGGUGUGGGAUCCAUUCCAC